rnacentral:rRNA from 1 species
UGGCGGCGUGCCUAAUACAUGCAAGUAGAACGCUGAAGAGAGGAGCUUGCUCUUCUUGGAUGAGUUGCGAACGGGUGAGUAACGCGUAGGUAACCUGCCUUGUAGCGGGGGAUAACUAUUGGAAACGAUAGCUAAUACCGCAUAACAAUGGAUGACACAUGUCAUUUAUUUGAAAGGGGCAAUUGCUCCACUACAAGAUGGACCUGCGUUGUAUUAGCUAGUAGGUGAGGUAAUGGCUCACCUAGGCGACGAUACAUAGCCGACCUGAGAGGGUGAUCGGCCACACUGGGACUGAGACACGGCCCAGACUCCUACGGGAGGCAGCAGUAGGGAAUCUUCGGCAAUGGGGGCAACCCUGACCGAGCAACGCCGCGUGAGUGAAGAAGGUUUUCGGAUCGUAAAGCUCUGUUGUAAGUCAAGAACGGGUGUGAGAGUGGAAAGUUCACACUGUGACGGUAGCUUACCAGAAAGGGACGGCUAACUACGUGCCAGCAGCCGCGGUAAUACGUAGGUCCCGAGCGUUGUCCGGAUUUAUUGGGCGUAAAGCGAGCGCAGGCGGUUUGAUAAGUCUGAAGUUAAAGGCUGUGGCUCAACCAUAGUUCGCUUUGGAAACUGUCAAACUUGAGUGCAGAAGGGGAGAGUGGAAUUCCAUGUGUAGCGGUGAAAUGCGUAGAUAUAUGGAGGAACACCGGUGGCGAAAGCGGCUCUCUGGUCUGUAACUGACGCUGAGGCUCGAAAGCGUGGGGAGCGAACAGGAUUAGAUACCCUGGUAGUCCACGCCGUAAACGAUGAGUGCUAGGUGUUGGAUCCUUUCCGGGAUUCAGUGCCGCAGCUAACGCAUUAAGCACUCCGCCUGGGGAGUACGACCGCAAGGUUGAAACUCAAAGGAAUUGACGGGGGCCCGCACAAGCGGUGGAGCAUGUGGUUUAAUUCGAAGCAACGCGAAGAACCUUACCAGGUCUUGACAUCCCGAUGCUAUUUCUAGAGAUAGAAAGUUACUUCGGUACAUCGGUGACAGGUGGUGCAUGGUUGUCGUCAGCUCGUGUCGUGAGAUGUUGGGUUAAGUCCCGCAACGAGCGCAACCCCUAUUGUUAGUUGCCAUCAUUCAGUUGGGCACUCUAGCGAGACUGCCGGUAAUAAACCGGAGGAAGGUGGGGAUGACGUCAAAUCAUCAUGCCCCUUAUGACCUGGGCUACACACGUGCUACAAUGGUUGGUACAACGAGUUGCGAGUCGGUGACGGCGAGCUAAUCUCUUAAAGCCAAUCUCAGUUCGGAUUGUAGGCUGCAACUCGCCUACAUGAAGUCGGAAUCGCUAGUAAUCGCGGAUCAGCACGCCGCGGUGAAUACGUUCCCGGGCCUUGUACACACCGCCCGUCACACCACGAGAGUUUGUAACACCCGAAGUCGGUGAGGUAACCUUUUGGAGCCAGCCGCCUAAGGUGGGACAGAUGAUUGGGGUGAAGUCGUA